AACGCCGGCCGGUCGGUGGGAUAUAAGCUGCCUUUGCACUAUAAGGGAAUCCUAGAACUGGAAGGGGCCUCGAGAGAUCAUCUAGUCCAGUUCCCUGCUUUCAGUCCUGCCACGAGAACCUCUACACCGGCUCCGGGGCCACCAUAGCCAUCCCAGGCGCGAGCGCUGACCCGAAGGCCUUGUGGCGUUACACCCGCGCAGAGAUCACGCCGCGCUUUCGCUGGGUCCGGCUCCAUCUGAAGUGGCCCAACACGUGAGGGGCCUAGACAUGAAAUCUCUCUCUCCCCCGGGGAAAGCUGCGCUGGCCGAUCGCUGGCUUUCGAACAGGGAGGCGAGUCUUUUCCCCCGGCUCCAGAAACCAAGCAGGAGUUCCCACCCAACACAACAGACCUGUUUGUCUUCGGCUUGCCAACAAAUCGGCCAGCGUGCAAAAGAUUUGCCAAGCGCAGAAUCCAAAGGCAAUUCACGAGGAGCCUGUGGAAUCGAUGGCAAACGAGUGCCACCAUUUCUGGUUUCAGUCCUUCUGACGGCGGGGGCUCUUUGCCAACUUUGGAUCGGGGGGGGGGGUUGUUUUGUCUUAAACAAAGUUUGGAUCCUCUUGUAAAAGUGACGGAUUUUAAAGAUAGAACCAGUGACUCCUUUUUAAUGAGGAUUUGAAGUUAAAAACAAAAAACCCUCCACGGUGGCUUCCAGGGCAAGAAAAGGGCACGUGGAGGGUGAAACAGACGGGCCAGUUUUGGGCUAUUUAAAGAAGACAGUUGCAUUUUUCUACCUCCCCUUCCUUAAAACAAACAAACAAACAAAAAAGGUGGAUUUUAAAGCAAUCUUGAGGCGGGGAGGGGGGGAGAGGGAUGAGGGAAGCAAAAAGAAGCAAAGGAGAACAGAAGGUGCUUAUGCAAAUACUUCAUUGGAACAAAGGGACACGGACACCCCCCUGCACCCCCCACGCCUGUAAUAAAAGGUUGGGGAUUUUCAAACAGGAGGGAAUGGGGGUGGGGAAGGGUGGAUGGGUAAGAGAGAGACCAAGAGAGCUCUCUGCAGUCCCUUCCGUUCUGGGGAACCCACAGAGAUCUGCUCCCUCCAGGCACAAGGCCGGUUUUCAGCGGUUGGGUUGAGUUGGCGGGGGCCAGCUGGCCUGGGUGCUACCCAGGAGGGUGGACAAGAUGACCCGCUUCCAGCCUUCAGUUCUAUCCUUUGUCUCCCCCGUUGGCAUUAACCGCCUCCCUGUUCUAAAGGCCAUGUGUGUGCAUUUCCAGCAUGGGGAGCGGGCUGGAUUCAGAAGUUGGGGAUUAUUUUCCAAGCCGGGCUUGGGAAACUCGGACAUGAUUUGGAGCCGGAAAAAAUAAAUUUCUGAAAAUAAA